rnacentral:lncRNA from 1 species
UGGCCCUCCAUAGGAAGGAGUCCGAAGAUGAGGCCCCUUCCAGGAUCGAGGAGAACAGGAGUGUUGCAGUUUGGAGAGCUGAAUUAGGGGUCAUCAUCAGAAAGCAAUGCAGCGUCAUUAAAAUAAAAACUGUGCCUUUUAAAAAGAAAAAAAUGCAAAUGUAUAGCAAAUCCCUAAACUUGAACAAUUUCCUAGUGCCUUGCUAGACAAACCUACAGGGGCAGGGUUGGGGGAGGGGAAACAUGGGUGGUGGCGUGUGCAGUUUCUGUUGGAUGAGUGUGUGUUUCUGAACUUCUAAUUUCAAGCAGGAGAUGGGCCUAGAGCAGGAUCUGAGACGGAGAAGCCUCUCGAGGGCCAGAGGCCAGAGUUGUUCCAGUUCGUGCAAGGAACACUCCAAAUUAAAAGGGCAGCUGGACAGCUCGUUUAGUCCGUGGCCUGAAAGGGCCUCAGCAACCCCAGGGGGAGGGCUCUGUUUGGAGGCCAUGCCUGUAGCCCCCAUCCCAGCCCCCAGGGUGCCAAGCACUCUCUAGAUUCCCAUGUGGUCCCAUUCCAAGUGGCUGACCAUGUCCUCGGCAAGACCGGGACUCGUGUGGAAAGCAGGAGCAGUGGCAAGCAGGCCGCAGACUUCCUCUUUCCCAUCCCUUGGUUCUCCUUUCAAGUCUGGUUUGCCCCCUAGACAAGGGAGGGCUAGUUCCCCCGAGCAGGUCUUGCUGAGCCCUUGUCCGGAGAUGCUGGGACUUGACGGUGUGUAACGGGGGAAGGGGAGAGAGAAGUUCAUGGCUCAGCUGACCAACUGGCGGAUUACAAAUCCUGACCGCUCAUUGUUUUGGCCUCAUUUUUGAAAACCACCUGUCUCCAAGAUUCCACUUCCUGCUCACACUGCCAGCUGUUGCUCAGGAAGGCAGCCAGGAGUCUGGAGGUGCUCUCAUCUGGGUAGUGGGUGAGGAUGGGGGCCCCUCUUCCUCUCUUUAUUCUGAGCAGGCGGUCACAAAACAGGGUGUGGCUGGAAAGCAUCUUUGCUGUAAAUACAAGGCCUCGGGAGGUGGCCAAGUGUGCAGACACGUGUGUGAAAAGCCAGCCCACCGCGUGCCUCCGCCUGGAGCUUUCAACUUUGAAAACCAUCCAGGAACUAGCCAUCCUGCCCUUGAGGAAGAGCUAGUUCGGAGGCAGAAGGGGGUUCUCCCACAGGCCUGGGGAGAAGGAGCCCUUCUCGCUGCGGGUGCAGCAGACAGACCCCCGACGUCCACAUUCUCUUUACUUUGCUAACCUACCUGUUGAAUUCUUUUUCUCCUGAAGAAAGAGAUGAUAUCCUUUAAAAUGACUCCAUAUUUCUUUCCAUGCAUCAUUUUUCUGUCUCUCGAGUCUCAAAAGAGCGGCAAAGCACUUUACUGAGAAAUCUGGAUUCCUUGCUUCAGCGAUCCUAGUUUGUACAGGUUGGGUGAACUUUUGUAAUUCCUGGGAGGCAGUGCAUUUUUAAUGUUUUCUGGAGAUUUUUAUGUGUGGGAGAGGGGCAAGGAGUGCAGUCCUGUUCUGGAAUUCUUUUCUACUUUCUCUUUGUGAAAAUCCACGUAAUAUUUCAGUCCAAACUUGAUCUUGAGCCAAGGCCCACUGCCACCGCUGGGGUGGGAGUUGGACCUACAUCCCCAAUGACAAGGUCCUCUUAACACCUGCUCCCCACAUGGCUUUGAUUCUCCCGUGUCAGAUAACAGGGUUGGGCUCCUGCUCCGUUUUUGGCUUGAAGACUGGGAUCCCAAAGGGACUACAGGCAGGGAAUAUGGAGAUGGCAGACUGGGUAUUGCAAACAGAGAGCUCAAGACUACCAACCUCUCUUCUCCUGCCUGGAAAAGUGAGCCUUUGUGAAGAACUGACUUACCGUGUACAAUUGUGAUUGUGACUGUUGUUGAAUAAACCUCCAGACUUUCUCUAACGUGCUGUCUGGCUUGUUCUU